CAGAUCAGUUCGGCUCCGUGUUGGUUCAGAUGCUCUGCAGGUUCAUGCGUGAGAAUGUGGCCGUCUGCAUCUUUUAUCAUAUUGAACUGUGUUUGUGUGUCUGCAGGGUCUGGUGCUGGGAGUGUUUGAGAAGAAGGAGGAGGAUGAGGGCACUCUUCAUCUGACAGAGGCGGCUGCAGGGUUUGACAAGUCUCUCUCCGGAAAGCUCUCUGAGCUGCUCAAACUCUCUGGGCCUGCACUCAAGAACGGCAAAAGCAGAGUAUUUUAUGGACUUCACAAGGACUUCCCAUGUGUAGCAGUAGUCGGUUUGGGUAAGAACCACGCAGGUGUUUGUCGCACAGAAAACUGGGACACCAGCAAGGAGAACAUCAGGCAGGCUGUGUCAGGUAUGCCGUUGGUGCGUAUAACAGAAGGAGUAAAGUGUUGUGCAAUAUCGCUUAAAUGUGUUAUGGACUGGUUCUUAUAUAGCGCUUUUCUACUCUAUUUGAGCACUCAAAGCUUUAUACAACACUCCCCAUUAAUACAAGCAUUUUUUUUUUUAAUUUCGCCGAACACUUCAUCAGCCAGGGAUCAAUCCACCAGUCUUCCGAUUAGUAGAUUAUCUCACCCAUCUAUCCAUCCAUCUUCUUCCACUUAUCCAAUACGUGGUUCUGGUGGCAUUCCUACAUAUUUCCAGUUCCUUGUGAUGGAUCUCAAGGUGUGAGAUAUGUAAUCUCUCCAGCGGGUUCUGU